rnacentral:rRNA from 1 species
UACAGAGGUCUCAAGCGUUGUUCGGAUUCAUUGGGCGUAAAGGGUGCGUAGGUGGCGCUGUAAGUCGGGUGUGAAAUUUCGGAGCUUAACUCCGAAACUGCAUUCGAUACUGCGGUGCUUGAGGACUGGAGAGGAGACUGGAAUUCAUGGAGUAGCAGUGAAAUGCGUAGAGAUCAUGAGGAAGACCAGUGGCGAAGGCGGGUCUCUGGACAGUUCCUGACACUGAGGCACGAAGGCCAGGGGAGCAAACGGG